CUGCGGCUGCUAUACAUGCAGUCGAGCGACAGACGAGGAGCUUGCUCCUCUGACGUUAGCGGCGGACGGGUGAGUAACACGUGGAUAACCUACCUAUAAGACUGGGAUAACUUCGGGAAACCGGAGCUAAUACCGGAUAAUAUAUUGAACCGCAUGGUUCAAUAGUGAAAGACGGUUUUGCUGUCACUUAUAGAUGGAUCCGCGCCGCAUUAGCUAGUUGGUAAGGUAACGGCUUACCAAGGCAACGAUGCGUAGCCGACCUGAGAGGGUGAUCGGCCACACUGGAACUGAGACACGGUCCAGACUCCUACGGGAGGCAGCAGUAGGGAAUCUUCCGCAAUGGGCGAAAGCCUGACGGAGCAACGCCGCGUGAGUGAUGAAGGUCUUCGGAUCGUAAAACUCUGUUAUUAGGGAAGAACAAAUGUGUAAGUAACUAUGCACGUCUUGACGGUACCUAAUCAGAAAGCCACGGCUAACUACGUGCCAGCAGCCGCGGUAAUACGUAGGUGGCAAGCGUUAUCCGGAAUUAUUGGGCGUAAAGCGCGCGUAGGCGGUUUUUUAAGUCUGAUGUGAAAGCCCACGGCUCAACCGUGGAGGGUCAUUGGAAACUGGAAAACUUGAGUGCAGAAGAGGAAAGUGGAAUUCCAUGUGUAGCGGUGAAUGCGCAGACAUAUGGAGGAUCACCAGUGGCGAAGGGCGACUUUCUGGUCUGAACUGACGCUGAUGUGCGAAGCCCGCGAAUCAAACAGGAUUAGAUACCCUGGAAGACCACGACGUAACGAUGAGUGUUU
rnacentral:rRNA from 1 species